rnacentral:rRNA from 1 species
UUAAACUGAAGAGUUUGAUCAUGGCUCAGAUUGAACGCUGGCGGCAGGCCUAACACAUGCAAGUCGAGCGAGAAAGCACUUCGGUGCGAGUACAGCGGCGGACGGGUGAGUAACGCGUAGGAAUCUA